rnacentral:rRNA from 1 species
UACGUAGGGUGCGAGCGUUAAUCGGAAUUACUGGGCGUAAAGCGUGCGCAGGUGGUUUGUUAAGUCAGAUGUGAAAGCCCCGAGCUUAACUUGGGAACUGCGUUUGAAACUGGCAAGCUAGAGUCUGUCAGAGGGGGGUAGAAUUCCACGUGUAGCAGUGAAAUGCGUAGAGAUGUGGAGGAAUACCAAUGGCGAAGGCAGCCCCCUGGGAUAAGACUGACGCUCAUGCACGAAAGCGUGGGGGAGCAAACAGGAUUAGAUACCCUGGUAGUCCACGCCCUAAACGAUGUCAACUGGUUGUUGGGCAACUUGAUUGUUCAGUAACGAAGCUAACGCGAGAAGUUGACCGCCUGGGGAGUACGGUCGCAAGAUUAAAACUCA